rnacentral:misc_RNA from 1 species
UACGUAGGUGGCGAGCGUUAUCCGGAAUUAUUGGGCGUAAAGCGCGCGCAGGCGGCUUCUUAAGUCUGAUGUGGAAGCCCACGGCUCAACCGUGGAGGGUCAUUGGAAACUGGGAAACUUGGGUGCAGAAGAGGAAAGCGGAAUUCCACGUGUAGCGGUGAAAUGCGUAGAGAUCGGGAGGAAUACCAGUGGCGAAGGCGGCCUUCUGGACUGACACUGACACUGAGGUGCGAAAGCGUGGGUAGCAAACAGG